rnacentral:rRNA from 1 species
UACAGAGGGGGCAAGCGUUAUUCGGAAUUAUUGGGCGUAAAGGGCGCGUAGGCGGCCUGACAAGUGGAAGGUGAAAUCCCUCGGCUUAACCGAGGAACUGCCCUCCAAACUGUUUGGCUUGAGACCGGGAGAGGUGAGUGGAAUUCCCAGUGUAGCGGUGAAAUGCGUAGAUAUUGGGAGGAACACCAGUGGCGAAGGCGGCUCACUGGACCGGUACUGACGCUGAGGCGCGAAAGCCAGGGGAGCAAACGGG